rnacentral:rRNA from 1 species
GAUGAACGCUGGCGGCGUGCCUAAUACAUGCAAGUCGAGCGAACGGACGAGAAGCUUGCUUCUCUGAUGUUAGCGGCGGACGGGUGAGUAACACGUGGAUAACCUACCUAUAAGACUGGGAUAACUUCGGGAAACCGGAGCUAAUACCGGAUAAUAUUUUGAACCGCAUGGUUCAAAAGUGAAAGACGGUUUUGCUGUCACUUAUAGAUGGAUCCGCGCUGCAUUAGCUAGUUGGUAAGGUAACGGCUUACCAAGGCAACGAUGCAUAGCCGACCUGAGAGGGUGAUCGGCCACACUGGAACUGAGACACGGUCCAGACUCCUACGGGAGGCAGCAGUAGGGAAUCUUCCGCAAUGGGCGAAAGCCUGACGGAGCAACGCCGCGUGAGUGAUGAAGGUCCUCGGAUCGUAAAACUCUGUUAUUAGGGAAGAACAUAUGUGUAAGUAACUGUGCACAUCUUGACGGUACCUAAUCAGAAAGCCACGGCUAACUACGUG